rnacentral:rRNA from 1 species
CCUACGGGUGGCAGCAGUGAGGAAUAUUGGUCAAUGGACGAGAGUCUGAACCAGCCAAGUAGCGUGAAGGAUGACUGCCCUAUGGGUUGUAAACUUCUUUUAUAUGGGAAUAAAAUGUUCCACGUGUGGGAUUUUGUAUGUACCAUAUGAAUAAGGAUCGGCUAACUCCGUGCCAGCAGCCGCGGUAAUACGGAGGAUCCGAGCGUUAUCCGGAUUUAUUGGGUUUAAAGGGAGCGUAGGUGGAUUGUUAAGUCAGUUGUGAAAGUUUGCGGCUCAACCGUAAAAUUGCAGUUGAAACUGGCAGUCUUGAGUACAGUAGAGGCGGGCGGAAUUCGUGGUGUAGCGGUGAAAUGCUUAGAUAUCACGAAGAACUCCGAUUGCGAAGGCAGUUCACUGGACUGCAACUGACACUGAGGCUCGAAAGUGUGGGUAUCAAACAGGAGUAGAUACCCCUGUAGUC